UCAGACAAGCAAAGAAAAAAAAACCAACUCCACUUUCCCUCACUCUCUCACUCUCGGUCUCUCCCAAAACACUCCAUCAGAGAAGCAAAACAAAAAACAGAAAACACUCCAACUCUCACAUCCCUCUCGGCUCUCUCCCUCGACAGACGAAAGCCACAGACGAAAAAGGGGAAGCUUGGGAGCUUGCUGCUAGUGCCAUUACCACCACCACUGCCAUAAUAAUCUCCAUUGUAAGUCUCUCCUUUUAUUUUUUGCUUUGAUUCCAACGAGAGAAGUGAAAAUUGGAGUGAGACAAGAUCACCGAAGAUUCUUCUUGCGUAGUCUAUGCAAAAGUUGAAAUCAAUGAUUUAUGGGUAGGAAUUUUAUCAGUAUGUAUUGAUGAGUUAGGGAGGUACCAUAUUUGCAGUAGAUUAAAUUUACCCGAAACCAUGUGUAAGAAAUUCAGGGAAACUUGACUUGGCUGGGAAAAUUUUUACGAGGACAAGGUGUGAAUUAAAUGAUGGUGCAGUCCUCUUGAAAUGCCAGAAUAUUAUUGGGUGUCUGCUGUAUGCAGUGCUGAACCCUCAUUAUAUACUCUUAUAACGUUUUAUAUGUAAUUGUUUCUCUAUUUUGUAAUGUGAAAUGCUUGUCAUGGUGUGUGUAUAUAUAUUUACAAAAAAAAAAAAAAAAACUUACAUUAGACUACUAUGUUAUAUUGUUUGCUGUUUUUUCUAAGAUUAUAGGUUGCAUUUCUGUAAGUAGUGCUGAGCCCUCGUUAUAUACUUUAUUUUGCUUCGUCUUAAAAUGCUUGUCAUGGUUCAUAAAUGAAAAUAAAUAAAUCCCAAAUUUCAUAUUUGUACCCUUGACACAAUAUUCAGUUUAAAAAAAAAAAUUUCAAGUUCUGUUUCUCCAAUAACUAAUGUUACAAACCAUUUUUGUAUUUUAGUUCUUUACCUUUUUCAAAACUCUGAAUUCAAUUAAACCAUCUUUCAAUUUUGGCUCUUUUAAAAUUCUAAAAUACUAGAAGAGAGCUUAUAUAUACAAAUAUACAUACUCCUCUCUCUAGCUUUCUAAUGUCCUUGGGGCCUACUUGCUUGUUUAAUAAAAGGGCCACGGGGGGAACUCAAUAUUUUUAACCUUCAACGAUUUGAAAGAUCAGGGGAAGAAGAUCAUACAACUCGAAAGUUUAUCAAUCGUACCAACAAAUUAAUCUACAAAGACCUCCAACCAAUCUAAUGUCAAGUUCUGCAAAUCCAUCCCGAAGGAGAGAGAAUAUUCCCACUUCGGAAAGAGCCCCGUUUUUCUAAUCCACGAAAUGAAUGAAUUCCAAGAAAAGAUCUGCACCUACAGAGAUUGCUUCGGUCAAGGAUACUAACAUUGAGGCUUACCACCUGCAAAGAAAAGAAUCUACUAUUGCCAGCAUGCACCAUUUUCUGCUACCUCAUUCUAUUCUACCAUGGACGAAUUAUUCAUCAGGAAGAAUUCUGUUUCAUUUGCUGCAGGCCCUUGGAAUCAAAUUCUGUUAUUGAUGAUCCAAGAACGUCUAAGAGGGGCUUUAGCUGAGUAUCUACCACUGGAAAAAUCUCACAUCAUGGCGAGGUUCCAGUACAAGGGCACCGUACCGAAACACAUCACAUCCCAAUAUUUUUCCGCUACACCUUCUCUACUUUGAUUAUUGAUACGUUAUCUUGGUCAAAACUUGGUAGAAUCGACUUUCAAAAAUCUAGUGACUUAGAUUGUGCAACACCAUUUAGUGAGAUGGUGUGCUAUAAUCUAGACCAUUGUAUUUCUGACAAUUAGAUCUAUUUCAAGUGUGAGCCAAAGCACAAAAGUUACC
rnacentral:lncRNA from 1 species